AUAGUUCUAUAAAUAGUUUUUUGACGUUUGUGUCACAUAUAGAUAGGGUGGUUAAGGUGGCAUUUAGCAUGCUUACCUUCCAUGCUCCGACCUUUGAGCACUGGAGUUGGAACAUUGUGUUGAGAUU